AAGGCUUUAUAAAUCGUAUUCAACAUGCACUUAAUUUGAUUUUGUGUGUGUUUUUCUCAAGAGAAGCCGAGAAAGAUGUUCUCCUCGCUAUCUAAUGCUGCAUUUCUGUGUGGUAUUUGGACGUCGGAGAACUAAAUUU
rfam:Prunus persica cultivar Lovell chromosome G6, whole genome shotgun sequence.